rnacentral:rRNA from 1 species
GUUGCCUAAAUACCCUAAAGGUAUCAGAUCCCCUCAGAGCUUGAAAACUAAACAGGGUCAGCCCUGGACAGUACUUGGAUGGAAAGCCACCAAGGAAUAUCAGGUGCUGUGAGCU